rnacentral:rRNA from 1 species
CGUAGACUAGAGAGUUUGAUCAUGGCUCAGGAUGAACGCUGGCGGCGUGCUUAACACAUGCAAGUCGAACGAUGAUCCGGUGCUUGCGCCGGGGAUUAGUGGCGAACGGGUGAGUAACACGUGAGUAACCUGCCCUUGACUCUGGGAUAAGCCUGGGAAACUGGGUCUAAUACCGGAUAUGACCUUCCAUCGCAUGGUGGUUGGUGGAGAGCUUUUGUGGUUUUGGAUGGACUCGCGGCCUAUCAGCUUGUUGGUGGGGUAAUGGCCUACCAAGGCGACGACGGGUAGCCGCCUGAGAGGGUGACGGCCACACUGGGACUGAGACACGGCCCAGACUCCUACGGGAGGCAGCAGUGGGGAAUAUUGCACAAUGGGCGCAAGCCUGAUGCAGCGACGCCGCGUGAGGGAUGACGGCCUUCGGGUUGUAAACCUCUUUCAUGUAGGGAAGAAGCCGCAAGGUGACGGUACCUGCAGAAGAAGCGCCGGCUAACUACGUGCUAGCAGCCGCGGUAAU